GGCGGGCUAUCCAAGCGGUCAUAAGGACGGCGCCUUGAAAGCGUUUGUGGGCGAAAGCUCUCGUGGGUUCGAAUCCUACGCCCGCCG
rnacentral:tRNA from 1 species